AAGCCUUGAACAGAAGGCUCUAUCAAAGCACUGUAUUAAUAGUUUGUUUGUUUUUGAAAAAGGGAACAGAUGGACAAAAUCUUGGAAAAAGAAAGAGAAACAAGAUGUGAUUUUAUGUUGUAAAAUUCCUUUCCCUCUUCCAGAAGUGACUAACACCCUCUACUUGGUGCUAUUGUACAACAAAGAUAAAGGGCAGCACUUAUGUGAAGAGACUGGACACUGAAUGGAUGCUACAAGUUUGUGACAGACUGCACACUGCCCUGGAUGGUACCAGAGAAGUGGCUGCUACAGAUCACUCAUUCCUUCUCCUCCUGGAAAUCACUGCCCAAGUCCCACGAGGCAUCCUGGAUAAUAUCACUCAGAUAGCACCAAUUCAACUCCUGACCUGGCAGACAGUGCUGGGUGUCCCACCACGCUCCGUUGAGUACAGUAAGCUUCGCAUAAGCCCG
rnacentral:lncRNA from 1 species